UACGGGGGGGGCAAGCGUUGUUCGGAAUUACUGGGCGUAAAGCGCACGUAGGUGGCGACGUAAGUCGGGUGUGAAAGCCCCGGGCUCAACCUGGGAACUGCAUUCAAAACUGACAAGCUAGAGUAUGGUAGAGGGUGGUGGAAUUUCCUGUGUAGCGGUGAAAUGCGUAGAUAUAGGAAGGAACACCAGUGGCGAAGGCGACCACCUGGACUGAUACUGACACUGAGGUGCGAAAGCGUGGGGAGCAAACAGG
rnacentral:rRNA from 1 species